rnacentral:rRNA from 1 species
UGAGGAACAUGACCUUCGGCGGGGGAUAGCCGGCCCAACGGCCGGGUAAUACCGCGUACGACCUUCCGGGGACAUCCCUGGAUGGUGAAAGCAGCAAUGCGCCGAUGGAGUGCCUCGCGGCCUAUCAGCUAGUUGGUGAGGUAAUGGCCCACCAAGGCGACGACGGGUAGCCGGCCUGAGAGGGUGACCGGCCACACUGGGACUGAGACACGGCCCAGACCUCCGUACGGGAGCAGNAGGU